AUAUGCUCAUAUAUGCAGGCAGGUCAGCCUCGUGUUCUGCACCCCAAGAUGAUGGUCUGCAUGCUCGGUGACACUCAGUAUGUGGGGGAGGAUAGGCCGCCGUCUUCCAAGCAUGACAAGUUUGGGUGAGGCAAGCAGAAGAAGAUUGAACCCCUUACCCUCCCGCUAUCUAUCUCUAUAUCAUGUUGCUCUCUCACAGCCUCAUCGAGUUUAUUUAUUGUGUUGUGGGUGGUUUGCAGAAGUGUAGCAGGGGGCAGAGGAAGGAGAUGGUAAAAAAAUGAGGUGUCGUUCGACCAUGCCACCUAUGACAAGUUGCUCAACCCCUCCGCCCUCUCUGAGCGCCUCAUGUUGCAAAUUGGUCAAAGCAUUCAGCAUUCUGCAUACUUGAAAUUUUAUAACAAGUAAGCUGAAGAUGGGGGAUAUGUGAUGCAAGGUUUGAUGAUCUGCUGAUUGGGGGGUUGUCCCCAACUUCCUGUGAGGAGCGUGACUUGUCAAUGGGCAUCUAGCAGCGGUUCUCUCCCCAUGCAAUGGCAGCGAGUUCACCGGGCCGCAGACACCAUUCCUUCGGCUGUGGUUCAGGUAACUACUUGGGCUCCUCCCUGCUCUACUCCAUUCUCUAUGGUGCCCAGCAAUCGUGUCAAGGUCGUGUACUUCCUGCUUUUGAAAGUGUUUGCUUGCCGACGGGCAUCUUGACAGGAUGUCACUCUUACCCUCCCUCGAGUCUGAUCUCGGGAGAGCGUUGUCAUCAUGGCCUUUGAGCCAUGGUAAUUUCUAGGGCAGGGUUUGGCUUCUGGCGUGGUCAACUGGCCAUACAUUGCUUUUGUGAUAGUGGCUGUAGCAAAUAAACUCUGUCUUAUAUUAUGUCAAACUGUGGAGAAUGUCACGCUAUUCUGGGGAGUGCUCUAUGGGUUCUUGUUUAUCUGGGUGCUAGCUCUUAGCUCGUUUUGUAUCCAAUUGUUGUCUCUUUGAAACCCAAGGUCCUGCUUCUCUUUAGGAGAGGUGCAUGUUUUUUGGAAUUUGGAAAAUCAUGCUUGGUACAGUAGUUGUGUGAUAAGUAUUAUGCUACUGCUUUUGGUCCUGUGGUGUGUAGGUUUCAUAAUAGUCUAGCAAAACACCCAAAGAUAAUGAUGCGCGCUUCCCACAAGAGCUCUGGUUUGAUUGUUUAGUUCCGGCAUUCCAGUGCUGACUAUUGUGCUUUGAAUGUCCAAAGGAUGUCCUAGGAGGUCCUGUCAUGACAACCAAAUAAGUAAUAUUUGGUUCUUACUGUAGUAAUACGGAUUGUCAAUAUUCCUGCAGAACUAGUGAACGUCCUGAUGGAUCAUCCUCUGGUUUUGCUUUCUGAAUUCCA